CCCUUAGAUGUCCUGGGCCGCACGCGCGUUACACUGAUGCAUUCAACGAGCUUUUAACCUUGGCCGAGAGGCCUGGGCAAUCUUGUUAACGUGCAUCGUGAUAGGGAUAGAUUAUUGAAAUUAUUAAUCUUGAACGAGGAAUUCCUAGUAAACGCAGAUCAUCAAUCUGCAUUGAUUACGUCCCUGCCCUUUGUACACACCGCCCGUCGCACCUACCGAUUGGAUGGUCCGGUGAAGCCUCGGGAUUGUGGUUCUUGCCGCUUUAUUGUGGCGUGACCGCGAGAACUUGUCUAAACCUUAUCAUCUAGAGGAAGGUGAAGUCGUAACA
rnacentral:rRNA from 1 species